rnacentral:lncRNA from 1 species
CCCAUCCUCAGCAACAUCUGAUAUUAUUUGAGUUUUUAGUAAUAGUCAUUGUGACUGGUGGAAGAUGAUAUCUUAUUGUGGUUUUAAUUUGCAUUUCCCUGAUGGUUAGUGAUGUUGAGUAUUGUUUAUAUAUUUAUUAUCCAUUUCUAUGUGUUCUUUUGAAAAUGUCUACUCAUGUCCUUUGCUCAUUUUAACGGAGUUAUUUGGUUCUUGUUGCUGUUGUUGUUGUAGAGUUGUUUGAGUUCCUUGCAAAUUCUUCAUAUUAGUUCCCUGUCACAGGCAAAGUAGCAGGACCUUUCAUGCUGAAUCUUUGUCAAACAGGAUACAGCUUCUGCUUGCAUGAACCACUAACAGGGGACAUGCCAUUUAUUAGUAAAGAAGAGGGAGGAAAACAAGGCUCUGAGUCAGAUGGGGAUGGGAAACGCAGGCCCUGGCAGGAAAUGGCAUCUCAGCCACACUAUCCUGUUCUGCAGAGGUGGGGAGGGAGCACCACUGAGAAGCAGCCUGGGUUCUUGUACAGGAGGCGCCCUGGGCUGUGUCUCUGUGGUAUCCGUGCACAGUAAUACGUGGCUGUGUCCACAGGGUCCAUGUUGGUCAUUGUAAGGACCACCUGGUUUUUGG